UAACGCGAAGAACCUUACCUGGCCUUGACAUCCCAGGAACCCUGAAGAGACUCGGGGGUGCCGCAAGGAGCCUGGAGACAGGUGCUGCAUGGCUGUCGUCAGCUCGUGUCGUGAGAUGUUGGGUUAAGUCCCGCAACGAGCGCAACCCUCGUCCCUAGUUGCCAUCAUUAAGUUGGGAACUCUAGGGAGACUGCCGGUGACAAACUGGAGGAAGGUGGGGAUGAGGUCAAGUCAGCAUGGCCUUUAUGUCCAGGGCUACACACGUGUUACAAUGCGCGCCACAAAGCGUUGCAAACCCGCGAGGGGGAGCUAAUCGCAAAAAAGCGCGCUCAGUUCGGAUUGCAGUCUGCAACUCGACUGCAUGAAGCCGGAAUCGCUAGUAAUGGCGCAUCAGAACGGCGCCGUGAAUACGUUCCCGGGCCUUGUACACACCGC
rnacentral:rRNA from 1 species